UACGUAGGGUGCGAGCGUUGUCCGGAAUUAUUGGGCGUAAAGAGCUCGUAGGCGGUUUGUUGCGUCGGCCGUGAAAACCUGCAGCUUAACUGUGGGCCUGCGGUCGAUACGGGCAGACUUGAGUUCGGUAGGGGAUACUGGAAUUCCUGGUGUAGCGGUGAAAUGCGCAGAUAUCAGGAGGAACACCGGUGGCGAAGGCGGGUCUCUGGGCCGAUACUGACGCUGAGGAGCGAAAGCGUGGGGAGCGAACAGG
rnacentral:rRNA from 1 species